UACGGGGGGGGCAAGCGUUGUUCGGAAUUACUGGGCGUAAAGGGCUCGUAGGCGGCCAACUAAGUCGGAUGUGAAAUCCCCAGGCUUAACCUGGGAACUGCAUCCGAUACUGGAUGGCUUGAAUCCGGGAGAGGGAUGCAGAAUUCCUGGUGUAGCGGUGAAAUGCGUAGAUAUCAGGAGGAACACCAGUGGCGAAGGCGAGUCCCUGGAAAACACCUGACACUGAGGCACGAAAGCUAGGGGAGCAAACAGG
rnacentral:rRNA from 1 species